GUCUCGAGGGAGCACAUAUUCUAAAACUGGAACGAUACAGUGAAGACUAGCAUGGCUCCCGCUCAAGGAUGACACGCAAAUUCAUGAAGUGCUCCAUAUUCUC